rnacentral:lncRNA from 1 species
UUUAGAUUAAGGCUGUGUCCGUUGGUGUGAUGGUUAUAUCAAUAACCAUUUCUUCAACAAGUCAACCGCCAUCAAACACGAACCGACUCUUCGUACAUCGCCUCCGGCAACGCGCGGGUGGCGUUAACUUGUUAUUAGACAAGUCAAGAAACUGAAGAUUAUUCAGAUUACAUAUUUGGGAUGGUAAACGACCAUCGAGUCUAUUAGACCGUAAAAAAAGAACACGGUAUGGUACAAGACAACUUAUUUUCCCAUAGAUCCACAAACCUUACCUUUGUGCAAUUGUCCAAGGACUUUGGUACUUCACCAACAAAGGCAUUCCUACGUAAAUACAAUGCCUGAAGCUCAGAAAAGUCACCCAAAUAAAAAGAAUUUCUCCGGAUAGACCGUUGCUUGACAAACUAAGAACCACAAGCUUUUCAUGGAAUUUCUUCAAGCAUUUAGACAAACUCCCUGAUAAUAGAUUGUUGGAGAGGUCAAAGAAAGUCAAAGCCACAUCAAUUUGACACGAGAAAGAAAGUGUUUCUAAGACUCCGUUUCAAGAGAGGUUUAGUGCUGCCAGUUUAGAAGGUAACAAUGGUAUUGUACCCUCGAGUUGGUUGUAACUCAAAUCCAUCCCAGGAUAGCGUUCAAAGACCAGUGUCAUAUUUGGUAGCAAACAUUUUAUUUCAUUUGAAGAAAUGUUGACAAAUCUCAACCCACGUGACGUGGUAGGUUCCAGAACCAACAAGGGUCGUGAUCGACGGGAUAUAUCAAGAUAUGCAAAAGCUCUUUGAGUUUGAAUCCACGUGGUGGACCUGUUGAAAAUGAAAAUCCUACAGUUUGGCAUUCAAAUCAAAACUUUUAUGAUUGUUUCUCAUAUAUGGGCCUUGGCUAUACCGUGCUGCAGCCCAAAAGUGUGGUUCAUAAUCUUCUCUUACUUUUACCAGGCCCAAGUAAAGGACGAAGUGAGGAAUAAUUGAAUAAAUAUUUGAUAUGUUAAAGAUAGUACAUGUGCU